UACGUAGGGCGCAAGCGUUAUCCGGAAUUAUUGGGCGUAAAGAGCUCGUAGGCGGUUUGUCGCGUCUGCUGUGAAAGACCGGGGCUCAACUCCGGUUCUGCAGUGGGUACGGGCAGACUAGAGUGCAGUAGGGGAGACUGGAAUUCCUGGUGUAGCGGUGAAAUGCGCAGAUAUCAGGAGGAACACCGAUGGCGAAGGCAGGUCUCUGGGCCGUAACUGACGCUGAGGAGCGAAAGCAUGGGGAGCGAACAGG
rnacentral:rRNA from 1 species